ACCUUUUUUUUGUACCAUCCCGACCUAACCUGGACGAUUCUUGCAACCAAACACAUCCUAACUAGUGGCAAAUUGUCUCGGGCAUAUGGCAUCCUACCGAGCAUGCCCUCUCCGCCUCCACAGAUCGCAUCGCCGCCCAGGGAAACGAUGAGCCGCGAGGCCAGCGGCGCGUCGGUGAGCUCUGUCCCGGUACCCGAGCCAGAGCGGCAGCAGGGGCAGGGGAACCAAGGGGAGGAGGCGGGGUGGACGCCGCUGGAGAAGGUGGCGGAUAAAGUGGAGGAGCUGUACAGUCUCCGCGACACCUUCUUCCCCCGAGACCCCUCCGAGAAGUCUGCGUCCCUCCGCGCCUGCGCCGACGCCGCCCUGGGAGUCCUCGAUUCCCUGCCUCCCGAGCAAAGAAAAUCCCCAGAAGAGCGUGUUAUUUAUGAAUUUUUGAUGGGGAAAAUACUCGAUGUCUUCCCAGAUUAUUGUAAGGAGGCUGAAGAGCAUUUAUCCAAAGCAGUAAAGCUGAAUCCAUCUCUUGUGGAUGCAUGGCUAUGUUUGGGUAACUGCAUCUGGAAGAAGGGGAAUUUGGCAUCAGCAAGGAACUGUUUCUUAUUAGCACUAAGUAAGGGUGCAGAUAAGAAAAUACUAUGUCAACUCUCAAUGCUUGAAAGGAGUAUGGCUCAAUCUAGUGAAGACCAAGCGUUGUUAGUGGAAGAGAGCAUUAAUCAUGCAAAAGAAGCUGUAAUGCUGGACAUAAAAGAUGGAAAUUCCUGGUAUAAUCUGGGUAAUGCAUACCUCACAAGCUUCUUUGCGAGCGGAGCCUGGGACAAAGCUAGGCUUCAUCAUUCGAUCAAAGCAUAUCAAAAUGCUGAGAAGGAUGAAACUAUGAAACUAAAUCCAGACCUCUACUAUAAUUGUGCCACAGCUUACAAAUACUUAGAGAACUAUGAAAGUGCCCUUCGCGGAUUUGAAGCUGCUGCGUUAAAAGAUCCUGCUCUCAGGGCUGACAUAGAAGUUCAGAAGAUCAUCAAUCUCCUUGAUAAGUUAGAGAAUGCAACGAAGGUACCUUCUGUAACUAUAGGACGACUACGACCCAAGAGAUCAGCAUCAUUGGUGUCAUCUCUGAAUGAAGUCAAUUUCAAGUUAUUCCACAAGAAAGCAACCAUAAGCAUCCUAUCAGGAGGUUUGAACAAGACAGUUGCUGUUGUGUGUAAAGUGGUUCUUUGGAUAAGACAUGACGAUGAUGCUCCACUGUCUCCCGAAGAAGAUGGUGUCCACAUAUGCUGAUCCUCCACCUCAUAAGUGAGAUUAAAUACAGCUAAGAACUUCUGCUUAAUAGUAAAGAUGAGGAGCAGGAUUUGCACUAGUAUAAAUCAAUACUGUCGAUGCACUGCGACUCACUGUGCUGCAUCAUGCUAUUUGGUCGCCACAAUAAUCCACAUGGUCCCAAGGCCAUCCCCACGGUAUUAUUUAACAUGUGACUUGGAUCAGUCUUAUUUCAUACUAUCAGUUUACGGGCUACAGAAUGAAGCAAUUAAAGAAGGCGAUCGAGUGGUACUGCUGGAACCAUACUACAAAAUCCUAGAUAUAUCUUGGAAAGAACAGCGCUAUAAGUUCAAGUCAAUUCGUGUGGACUUUCCAGAACAAAUUAUUAUCAACGAGAAAGCUCCAGCUGCUCAUCAUGUUGCCCGGGCUUCAAUUCGUGCGCAGCAUAAACCAUAAUUGUUGUCUAAACUGUCACGCCUGCAGAUGGACCUGCAGCGGACUGAAGAGUGCAAGUGCAGAACCUGAACUUGCAACGACCAAGUCAGCGGGGAGGCUGGGCUGGGACCCACCUGCCAGGGGUGUGCGUGUGUGCUACGCCAGCUGUAGCCUACUUGUAACCGUGUGAGUGAACAGACGAUGGCAAUGAGAAAAUAGAUUAACUACUUUCCCCUUCCUCACGUCUCUCUCGCUCUUACCUACCCUGCUCCUCUUCCUCUCCCCUGAUCUCCUUUCCCCUCUCGAUCCCCUCUUGAUCGGGUCGUGACAAAAACACUCCAAUUAUUACCUUAUUUGUUGUACUGGACUUUUAGGCGUACAAGAGAAAGUGUACACAAAAAGGUUAUUAAGUGAUGUCCAUCCACUCA